CGGCUGUAAUGGUCAAGUUGGUUGAAGGCUUUCAUUAUUCUUCUCCUGCUACCCCAUCUCCAUUGGAACCCCUUAGUGGCGCCCAGUGCGAAUGCCGCGGUGGCUUCUCACUCGCACGGGUAACCUGCGAUGCUGCGGUAGCCCUAAGCAAUGAUGAUGACACUUGAGGGAGGUUUCACUCUGCAGAGGCAUCAUCACCGUCGCAUGGCGUGCUGGAUUACGAUCGGUAAGGGCUUGGGGUAGUGGCUGAAGAUGGAGAUGUCAACUCCGUUU
rnacentral:SRP_RNA from 1 species